rnacentral:rRNA from 1 species
CCUACGGGAGGCAGCAGUGAGGAAUAUUGGUCAAUGGACGAGAGUCUGAACCAGCCAAGUAGCGUGAAGGAUGACUGCCCUAUGGGUUGUAAACUUCUUUUAUAUGGGAAUAAAAUGCUGCACGUGUGGGAUUUUGUAUGUACCAUAUGAAUAAGGAUCGGCUAACUCCGUGCCAGCAGCCGCGGUAAUACGGAGGAUCCGAGCGUUAUCCGGAUUUAUUGGGUUUAAAGGGAGCGUAGGUGGAUUGUUAAGUCAGUUGUGAAAGUUUGCGGCUCAACCGUAAAAUUGCAGUUGAAACUGGGAGUCUUGAGUACAGUAGAGGUAGGCGGAAUUCGUGGUGUAGCGGUGAAAUGCUUAGAUAUCACGAAGAACUCCGAUUGCGAAGGCAGCUCACUGGACUGCAACUGACACUGAGGCUCGAAAGUGUGGGUAUCAAACAGGAUUAGAUACCCUAGUAGUC